rnacentral:sRNA from 1 species
UUUCUUUGUGCAGUUAGCACCGAUGGACACCAGGGGCUGCUGGUCAACAUUGGCAUCCUCAUCGCUGUGACCAGAGUCAUCUCACAGAUCAGCGCCGACAACUACAAGAUCCAUGGAGACCCCAGUGCCUUCAAGUUGACGGCCAAGGCAGUGGCCGUGCUGCUGCCCAUCCUGGGUACCUCGUGGGUCUUUGGCGUGCUUGCUGUCAACGGUUGUGCUGUGGUUUUCCAGUACAUGUUCGCCACGCUCAACUCCCUGCAGGGACUGUUCAUAUUCCUCUUUCAUUGUCUCCUGAAUUCAGAGGUGAGAGCCGCCUUCAAGCACAAAACCAAGGUCUGGUCGCUCACGAGCAGCUCCGCCCGCACCUCCAACGCGAAGCCCUUCCACUCGGACCUCAUGAAUGGGACCCGGCCAGGCACGGCCUCCACCAAGCUCAGCCCUUGGGACAAGAGCAGCCACUCUGCCCACCGCGUCGACCUGUCAGCCGUGUGAGCCGGGAGGCUGCCAACCAGGCCAGGCUGCGCUCAGAACACACCCCCCCAAACAGAAUGAAAUGCCCCACCUUUGCCCAUGGACCCUCUCCUUGCUGCUGUCUGGACAUGGGUGUUGUGGCCCCGAGACAGCUGUCCUCCCCUGUGACUCUGGCUGUCGGAGCACACUGCUGAGCCCAGCAGCCUGAUGCCCAGGCCAGCGUGGGCCCUCCUGCCUCGCGUCCACC